ACACCGGCAGCUCAAGUGGUAGCCGCUUUUAUUGGGCCUAAAGCGUCCGUAGCCGGUCUGAUAAGUCUCUGGUGAAAUCCCACAGCUUAACUGUGGGAAUUGCUGGAGAUACUAUCAUGACUCGAGGUCGGGAGAGGCUGGAGGUACUCCCAGGGUAGGGGUGAAAUCCUGUAAUCCUGGGAGGACCACCUGUGGCGAAGGCGUCCAGCUGGAACGAACCUGACGGUGAGGGACGAAAGCCAGGGGCGCGAACCGGAUUAGAUACCCGGGUAGUCCUGGCCGUAAACGAUGUGGACUUGGUGUUGGGAUGGCCUCGAGCUGCCCCAGUGCCGAAGGGAAGCUGUUAAGUCCACCGCCUGGGAAGUACGGUCGCAAGACUGAAACUCAAAGGAAUUGACGGGG
rnacentral:rRNA from 1 species